GCGAAUGUAGUUUAAUGGUAGAACAUCGGCUUCCCAAGCCGACAGUGCGAGUUCGAUUCUCGUCAUUCGCU
rnacentral:tRNA from 1 species